AGGAAUAUUGGUCAAUGGACGCAAGUCUGAACCAGCCAUGCCGCGUGCAGGAUGACGGCUCUAUGAGUUGUAAACUGCUUUUGUACGAGGGUAAACGCAGAUACGUGUAUCUGUCUGAAAGUAUCGUACGAAUAAGGAUCGGCUAACUCCGUGCCAGCAGCCGCGGUAAUACGGAGGAUUCAAGCGUUAUCCGGAUUUAUUGGGUUUAAAGGGUGCGUAGGCGGUUUGAUAAGUUAGAGGUGAAAUUUCGGGGCUCAACCCUGAACGUGCCUCUAAUACUGUUGAGCUAGAGAGUAGUUGCGGUAGGCGGAAUGUAUGGUGUAGCGGUGAAAUGCUUAGAGAUCAUACAGAACACCGAUUGCGAAGGCAGCUUACCAAACUAUAUCUGACGUUGAGGCACGAAAGCGUGGGGAGCAAACAGGAUUAGAUACCCUGGUAGUCCACGCAGUAAACGAUGAUAACUCGUUGUCGGCGAUACACAGUCGGUGACUAAGCGAAAGCGAUAAGUUAUCCACCUGGGGAGUACGUUCGCAAGAAUGAAACUCAAAGGAAUUGACGGGGGCCCGCACAAGCGGAGGAACAUGUGGUUUAAUUCGAUGAUACGCGAGGAACCUUACCCGGGCUUGAAAGUUAGCGACGAUUCUUGAAAGAGGAUUUCCCUUCGGGGCGCGAAACUAGGUGCUGCAUGGUUGUCGUCAGCUCGUGCCGUGAGGUGUCGGGUUAAGUCCCAUAACGAGCGCAACCCCUACCGUUAGUUGCCAUCAGGUGAAGCUGGGCACUCUGGCGGGACUGCCGGUGUAAGCCGAGAGGAAGGUGGGGAUGACGUCAAAUCAGCACGGCCCUUACGUCCGGGGCUACACACGUGUUACAAUGGUAGGUACAGAGGGCAGCUACCCAGCGAUGGGAUGCGAAUCUCGAAAGCCUAUCUCAGUUCGGAUUGGAGGCUGAAACCCGCCUCCAUGAAGUUGGAAUCGCUAGUAAUCGCAGAUCAGAAUGCUGCGGUGAAUACGUUCCCG
rnacentral:rRNA from 1 species